AAUAAAGUGCCUGAAAAAGGAUUAUUCUGAUAGAAUAAAUAAUGCAAAAAUUGCCUUUAUUG
rnacentral:tRNA from 1 species